GACGAACGCUGGCGGCGUGCUUAACACAUGCAAGUCGAACGAAGAGCGACGGAAGCUUGCUUCUAUCAAUCUUAGUGGCGAACGGGUGAGUAACGCGUAAUCAACCUGCCCUUCAGAGGGGGACAACAGUUGGAAACGACUGCUAAUACCGCAUACGAUCUAACCUCGGCAUCGAGGAUAGAUGAAAGGUGGCCUCUACAUGUAAGCUAUCACUGAAGGAGGGGAUUGCGUCUGAUUAGCUAGUUGGAGGGGUAACGGCCCAACAAGGCGAUGAUCAGUAGCCGGUCUGAGAGGAUGAACGGCCACAUUGGGACUGAGACACGGCCCAGACUCCUACGGGAGGCAGCAGUGGGGAAUCUUCCGCAAUGGACGAAAGUCUGACGGAGCAACGCCGCGUGAGUGAUGACGGCCUUCGGGUUGUAAAGCUCUGUUAAUCGGGACGAAAGGCCUUCUUGCGAAUAGUGAGAAGAAUUGACGGUACCGGAAUAGAAAGCCACGGCUAACUACGUG
rnacentral:rRNA from 1 species